rnacentral:rRNA from 1 species
CCUACGGGUGGCAGCAGUGAGGAAUAUUGGUCAAUGGACGAGAGUCUGAACCAGCCAAGUAGCGUGAAGGAUGACUGCCCUAUGGAUUGUAAACUUCUUUUAUAUGGGAAUAAAACGUUCCACGUGUGGGAUUUUGUAUGUACCAUAUGAAUAAGGAUCGGCUAACUCCGUGCCAGCAGCCGCGGUAAUACGGAGGAUCCGAGCGUUAUCCGGAUUUAUUGGGUUUAAAGGGAGCGUAGGUGGAUUGUUAAGUCAGUUGUGAAAGUGUGCGGCUCAACCGUAAAAUUGCAGUUGAAACUGGCAGUCUUGAGUACAGUAGAGGUGGGCGGAAUUCGUGGUGUAGCGGUGAAAUGCUUAGAUAUCACGAAGAACUCCGAUUGCGAAGGCAGUUCACUGGACUGCAACUGACACUGAGGCUCGAAAGUGUGGGUAUCAAACAGGAUUAGAUACCCCUGUAGUC